rnacentral:rRNA from 1 species
GGCUCAGGAUGAACGCUAGCUACAGGCUUAACACAUGCAAGUCGAGGGGAAACGAUAGAGAAAGCUUGCUUUUUCUAGGCGUCGACCGGCGCACGGGUGAGUAACGCGUAUCCAACCCUGCCCAUCACUUGGGGAUAACCUUGCGAAAGUAAGACUAAUACCCAAUGACGUCUCUAGAAGACAUCUGAAAGAGAUUAAAGGUAUUCCGGUAGACGAUGGGGAUGCGUUCCAUUAGAUAGUAGGCGGGGUAACGGCCCACCUAGUCUUCGAUGGAUAGGGGUUCUGAGAGGAAGGUCCCCCACAUUGGAACUGAGACACGGUCCAAACUCCUACGGGAGGCAGCAGUGAGGAAUAUUGGUCAAUGGGCGAGAGCCUGAACCAGCCAAGUAGCGUGAAGGAUGAAGGUCCUACGGAUUGUAAACUUCUUUUAUACGGGAAUAAAGUUUCCUACGUGUAGGAUUUUGUAUGUACCGUAUGAAUAAGCAUCGGCUAACUCCGUG